rnacentral:rRNA from 1 species
GAUGAACGCUGGCGGCGUGCCUAAUACAUGCAAGUCGAGCGAACGGACGAGAAGCUUGCUUCGCUGAUGUUAGCGGCGGACGGGUGAGUAACACGUGGAUAACCUACCUAUAAGACUGGGAUAACUUCGGGAAACCGGAGCUAAUACCGGAUAAUAUUUUGAACCGCAUGGUUCAAAAGUGAAAGACGGUCUUGCUGUCACUUAUAGAUGGAUCCGCGCUGCAUUAGCUAGUUGGUAAGGUAACGGCUUACCAAGGCAACGAUGCAUAGCCGACCUGAGAGGGUGAUCAGCCACACUGGAACUGAGACACGGUCCAGACUCCUACGGGAGGCAGCAGUAGGGAAUCUUCCGCAAUGGGCGAAAGCCUGACGGAGCAACGCCGCGUGAGUGAUGAAGGUCUUCGGAUCGUAAAACUCUGUUAUUAGGGAAGAACAGAUGUGUAAGUAACUGUGCACAUCUUGACGGUACCUAAUCAGAAAGCCCCGGCUAACUACGUG